rnacentral:rRNA from 1 species
UACGAAGGGGGCUAGCGUUGUUCGGAAUCACUGGGCGUAAAGGGCGCGUAGGCGGCUUGAUAAGUCGGGGGUGAAAGCCUGUGGCUCAACCACAGAAUUGCCUUCGAUACUGUCGAGCUUGAGACCGGAAGAGGUAAGUGGAACUGCGAGUGUAGAGGUGAAAUUCGUAGAUAUUCGCAAGAACACCAGUGGCGAAGGCGGCUCACUGGCCCGGAACUGACGCUGAGGUGCGAAAGCGUGGGGAGCAAACAGG